UACAGAGGUGGCAAGCGUUGUUCGGAAUUACUGGGCGUAAAGGGCGCGUAGGCGGCCCGUCAAGUCCCGUGUGAAAGCCCCCGGCUCAACCGGGGAACGGCGCGGGAAACUAGCAGGCUUGAGUUCGGGAGAGGGAAGCGGAAUUCCGGGUGUAGCGGUGAAAUGCGCAGAUAUCCGGAGGAACACCGGUGGCGAAGGCGGCUUCCUGGACCGACACUGACGCUGGAGGUGCGAAAGACGUGGGGAGCAAACAGG
rnacentral:rRNA from 1 species